GAUUAAUAUAGACUGAUCCAGGAAGAUUUGCUAGACUUGCAGGAACAGAACCAUUAAAAAGAUUGUGAGAUAGGUCAAGAGCUCCUUGCAAAUUCGACAAAUUGCCUAGGUCGCUGGGGAUAAAACCACUAAAGUUAUUAAAUGAAAGAUUCAGUUUCUGGAGCAUUACCAAAUUGGUUCCGAACCCAUCUGGUAGAAAGCCGGUGAAGCUGUUUUGACUAAGUAAAAUCUGCCGCAAU
rnacentral:misc_RNA from 1 species